rnacentral:rRNA from 1 species
CCCACCCGUGUUUAUUUUACCUUGUUGCUUCGGCGGGCCCGCCUUAACUGGCCGCCGGGGGGCUUACGCCCCCGGGCCCGCGCCCGCCGAAGACACCCUCGAACUCUGUCUGAAGAUUGUAGUCUGAGUGAAAAUAUAAAUUAUUUAAAACUUUCAACAACGGAUCUCUUGGUUCCGGCAUCGAUGAAGAACGCAGCGAAAUGCGAUACGUAAUGUGAAUUGCAAAUUCAGUGAAUCAUCGAGUCUUUGAACGCACAUUGCGCCCCCUGGUAUUCCGGGGGGCAUGCCUGUCCGAGCGUCAUUUCUGCCCUCAAGCACGGCUUGUGUGUUGGGCCCCGUCCUCCGAUCCCGGGGGACGGGCCCGAAAGGCAGCGGCGGCACCGCGUCCGGUCCUCGAGCGUAUGGGGCUUUGUCACCCGCUCUGUAGGCCCGGCCGGCGCUUGCCGAUCAACCCAAAUUUUUAUCCAGGUUGACCUCGGAUCAGGUAGGGAUACCCGCUGAACUUAAGCAUAUC